rnacentral:RNase_P_RNA from 2 species
GUUUUGUAUCGAAUGGUUACGCCCUGAUAUUUACGAAAGUAAUUGAUGGGUGAGGAAAGUCCGAACACACAGUUAUUUAAUUAGCAAAAGUAGCGGGUAACGCCCGUCGUCCGCAAGGGCAGAGGUGCGAGCAGAGACGCCUGAAGCGAAAGUAACAGGCACCCAAAAAGCAAUUUUUGGGUGAGUCAUUAUGGUAACAUAGUGGGUGAAACGGCUAAAUCCUUACUCGUGUGCAAGAUCGUAUUCUUUGGCUUCGGUCAAAGUUUGAAUCGCUACAGGUAUAUAGCAAUAUAUAUCGCAGAUAAAUACCAUUAGAACAGAAUUCGGCUUACGAAUGCAAAACCAAA